ensembl:lncRNA
UUAUUACUAAAGCUUUCUAAAAUUCAUCUCUCUCUCUCUCUCUCUCUUUCUCUCUCUCUCUCUCUCUCUCUCUCUCUCUCUCUCUCUCUCUCUCUCUCACACACACACACACACACACACACAGAGUUCUUUCCACAGUUUGAAAAUCUCUCAUCUAGAAGAAAAAAAAAAGAGUGCCUCAGACAGAGCCUGGAGGGACAUCCAUGUAAAGUGCUUGCUGCUAUAUUUUUCUGAUUCCUGGUACAACUGUCCAGUCUUCUUCCUAGCACCUGCUGCUAAGAAACCCUUUAAGAGCAAUCCAGGAUACUAUUUAAAAGUCAAAGAGAAAGAGCCACUGUGA